UACGGAGGAUCCAAGCGUUAUCCGGAUUUAUUGGGUUUAAAGGGUGCGUAGGCGGAUUGAUAAGUUAGAGGUGAAAUGUCCGAGCUCAACUCGGGAACUGCCUCUAAUACUGUUGAUCUAGAGAGUAGAUGCGGUAGGCGGAAUGUGUAGUGUAGCGGUGAAAUGCAUAGAUAUUACACAGAACACCGAUUGCGAAGGCAGCUUGCUAGGCCGGAUCUGACACUGAUGCACGAAAGCGUGGGUAUCGAACAGG
rnacentral:rRNA from 1 species